rnacentral:ncRNA from 2 species
CCAGUUGACGGGGGUGGCGGUGCGUGGUGGACUGCCCCGAGCCGAAGUACGGCGGCAGAGAGGAAGCCGGUGCGAGUCCGGCGCGGUCCCGCCACUGUCACCGGAGAAAGCGCUCCCCCAGUACGAGCCACGGCCCACCCAGGGUGGUCCCGGCCCGCGGGGAGCCGCCGAUCCGGAAGCCAGGAGACUCUCGCCGUCGUCAUCACGUCGAA